GACGAACGCUGGCGGCGUGCUUAACACAUGCAAGUCGAACGGAAAGGCCCUGCUUUUGUGGGGUGCUCGAGUGGCGAACGGGUGAGAAACACGUGUGUAACCUGCCCUUGCUUCUGGGAUAUCUUCUGGAAACCGGGGAUACUACCGCUUAUGAGCUACUGCUCCACGGUGGGGGUUGGGAAGUUUCGGCCGUUGGUGAUGGACUCGCGGCUUAUCGGCUUGUUGGUCGGGUUGUUGCUUACCAAGGCUGUGACGGAUAGCCGGCCUGGGAGGCGGGCCGGCGACAAGGGGACUAAGAGACGGCCCAGACGCCAACGGGAGGCAGCAGGGGGGAGUAUUACACAGUGGGCGGAAGCCUGAGGCGGCAACGCCGGGUUCGGGAUGACGGCCUUCGGGUGAUAAACCGCUUUCGCCUGUGACGAAGCGUGAGUGACGGUAAUGGGUAAAGAAGCACCGGCUAACUACGUG
rnacentral:rRNA from 1 species